rnacentral:tRNA from 1 species
GCCUAGUUAGCUUGGUUGGUAGAGCGUCAGCCUUGUAAGCGUUCGGCUGCGGGUUCGAUUCCCACCCGGGGCG